UAAAAAUUGUGUAUAUUAACAGGAUGUAAGAAAACGCUUUCUCCCUUAGUAACACAUUGCAGACUGACUGACCAGUCUUCCACAGAAACUUUCUGUCCUAGUUCUAAAAACUCAAUUGCCUAAUUUAUCUAGGGAAAAGGGGUACGGGCUGUGUGUGUCUGGCCCAGGGGAGUAGUCUGUCUCAUUCUUUUUCCUCUUAAUACACCACCUUGUCUGCUUAUUACAGAAAAUAUAUUAGUUCAGGGGAGGAAUUGCUAGAGAGGGUUGAUUUCUGUCCUAGUCCACUCUGCCCCUUUGGGACUCAUAAAAUAACCAGGUCACAGAUUUUUCAGUUGAAUCGUUCUUUGUUCUUACUCUGCUUCAAUCUGCAGUGAGGAUCUUGUAACAAUUCAGCACUCUGCUACCCUUCGAAGUUGGGCAAGAACCGUGAAGAAAUGAAUGUUGCCCCAUGGACAAGCAGCAACCCAGGAAUGCUACUGCUGGCAUCAUUAUUGUGCAUUCAAAGAGGAAAUGUCAAUGUUGUAUUUCUAAAGAAGGAAUAUAGUUAUUUGUACUGAAGCAGAUGAUACCCUUUUUAUUUUUCCAACUGUUUUUGAGAUUAUUGCCUUGAUUUAAUAACAUAUUAAUUUAUUUUUUAUACUUUAAAAA